AGUGAACGCUGGCGGUAGGCCUAACACAUGCAAGUCGAACGGCAGCACAGUAAGAGCUUGCUCUUACGGGUGGCGAGUGGCGGACGGGUGAGGAAUACAUCGGACUCUACUUUUUCGUGGGGGAUAACGUAGGGAAACUUACGCUAAUACCGCAUACGACCUACGGGUGAAAGCAGGGGAUCUUCGGACCUUUCGCGAUUGAAUGAGCCGAUGUCGGAUUAGCUAGUUGGCGGGUUAAAGGCCCACCAAGGCGACGAUCCGUAGCUGGUCGGAGUGGAGGAUAGGCCACACUAGAAGUGAGACAGCGUCAAUGGUCCUGCGGUAGGGAGCAGUGUGGUAUAUGGGACAAUAGUGGGAAGCAUGAUCCAGUCAUACCGCGUGGGAGAAGAAGGCGUUCGGGGUGUAAAGCCCUUUUGUUGGGAAAGAAAAGCAUCAGGUUAAUACCCCGCUGUUCUGACGGUACCCAAAGAAUAAGCACCGGCUAACUUCGUG
rnacentral:rRNA from 1 species